UACGUAGGGGGCAAGCGUUGUCCGGAAUCAUUGGGCGUAAAGAGCGUGUAGGCGGCUUGGUAAGUCCGCUGUGAAAGUCCAGGGCUCAACCCUGGAAAGCCGGUGGAAACUGUCAAGCUUGGGUCCGGAAGAGGCGAGUGGAAUUCCUGGUGUAGCGGUGAAAUGCGCAGAUAUCAGGAGGAACACCAAUGGCGAAGGCAGCUCGCUGGGACGGUACUGACGCUGAGACGCGAAAGCGUGGGGAGCAAACAGG
rnacentral:rRNA from 1 species